UUACUGGGCGUAAGGGAGCGUAGGUGGCUCGAUAAGUCAGAUGUGAAAUCCCCGGGCUCAACCUGGGAACUGCAUCUGAUACUGUUGAGCUAGAGUAUGUGAGAGGAAGGUAGAAUUCCAGGUGUAGCGGUGAAAUGCGUAGAGAUCUGGAGGAAUACCGAUGGCGAAGGCAGCCUUCUGGCAUAAUACUGACACUGAGGCUCGAAAGCGUGGGUAGCAAACAGGAUUAGAUACCCUGGUAGUCCACGCCGUAAACGAUGUCUACUAGUCGUUGGGUCCCUUGAGGACUUAGUGACGCAGCUAACGCAAUAAGUAGACCGCCUGGGGAGUACGGCCGCAAGGUUAAAACUCAAAUGAAUUGACGGGGGCCCGCACAAGCGGUGGAGCAUGUGGUUUAAUUCGAUGCAACGCGAAGAACCUUACCUGGUCUUGACAUAUCUAGAAUCCUGCAGAGAUGCGGGAGUGCCUUCGGGAAUUAGAAUACAGGUGCUGCAUGGCUGUCGUCAGCUCGUGUCGUGAGAUGUUGGGUUAAGUCCCGCAACGAGCGCAACCCUUGUCCUUAGUUACCAGCGGGUUAAGCCGGGAACUCUAAGAUACUGCCAGUGACAACUGGAGGAAGGCGGGGACGACGUCAAGUCAUCAUGGGCCCUUAGACAAGGUACACACGUGCUACAAUGGUAGGUCGAGGGAGCUACACAGCGAUGU
rnacentral:rRNA from 1 species